GUGGGGAAUCUUGGACAAUGGGCGCAAGCCUGAUCCAGCCAUGCCGCGUGAGUGAAGAAGGCCUUAGGGUUGUAAAGCUCUUUUACCAGGGACGAUAAUGACGGUACCUGGAGAAUAAGCCCCGGCAAACUUCGUGCCAGCAGCCGCGGUAAUACGAAGGGGGCUAGCGUUGUUCGGAAUUACUGGGCGUAAAGCGCACGUAGGCGGGUCGUUAAGUCAGGGGUGAAAUCCCGGAGCUCAACUCCGGAACUGCCUUUGAUACUGGCGAUCUAGAGAUCGAGAGAGGUGAGUGGAAUUCCGAGUGUAGAGGUGAAAUUCGUAGAUAUUCGGAAGAACACCAGUGGCGAAGGCGGCUCACUGGCUCGAUACUGACGCUGAGGUGCGAAAGCGUGGGGAGCAAACAGGAUUAGAAACCCCGGUAGUCC
rnacentral:rRNA from 1 species